GACGAACGCUGGCGGCGUGCUUAACACAUGCAAGUCGAACGGAAAGGCCCUGCUUUUGUGGGGUGCUCGAGUGGCGAACGGGUGAGUAACACGUGAGUAACCUGCCCUUGACUUUGGGAUAACUUCAGGAAACUGGGGCUAAUACCGGAUAGGAGCUCCUGCUGCAUGGUGGGGGUUGGAAAGUUUCGGCGGUUGGGGAUGGACUCGCGGCUUAUCAGCUUGUUGGUGGGGUAGUGGCUUACCAAGGCUUUGACGGGUAGCCGGCCUGAGAGGGUGACCGGCCACAUUGGGACUGAGAUACGGCCCAGACUCCUACGGGAGGCAGCAGUGGGGAAUAUUGCACAAUGGGCGGAAGCCUGAGGCAGCAACGCCGCGUGCGGGAUGACGGCCUUCGGGUUGUAAACCGCUUUCGCCUGUGACGAAGCGGGAGUGACGGUAAUGGGUAAAGAAGCACCGGCUAACUACGUG
rnacentral:rRNA from 1 species